CCCUAUUUGAGUGUUAAGCAUUUUAAUGAGCCCAGGAGGGGGUGGGGGAAAGAGACUGGGUGCUGCGUGGUGCAUUUCAAGAGACCACCCAGCCAGCUGGGGUUCUGUGGCUCCUUUGUAAAUUAAAUACGUACAGACUGGGCAGGCACACUCUCAGCCCCUCCCUCUGUCCUAUUCCUCCGGUGGCUGCGAGCUGCAAGGCGCCAGGCGAGCUGGAACCAACACAUCUCAAUCAGCCAAGUUCUGAACCCAGAACAUCACUAACCGGCUCAGGCCUGCGUCCCCACAGCCUACCUCAGGGGAGACUGCUGGGGCACCCUUGAAGAGAAGGUGUGGAGAGCGCAGGACUGGCCAGGCCUGGGGACCCUACAGCAGUCCCUAACUUAGGCUGCCUUCGUCAGGCAUUUUGUUCAGCGAUAGGAUGCUGCCUAAUGGAGCUCCGGGCCUUGAGCCAGCCUCCUCAGCCUCCCACUCUGCUCCUGAGAUAUCCACACCAGCCACGCCAGUGAGCCAGGAGGUGGCUGCAGACACAGCUGGGAAAGGGGCAGGAUCCAUCCACCUUGGAGCCACUUUCUGGGCCACAUCCACCUUCUGAGUCAAAUCUUAGGCCAGGACCAAUGGGAACGGGUACCCAGGAUAUCAAGGACCUGGACAGGAC
rnacentral:lncRNA from 1 species